GAGACAUGCAGAUUGAUCUUCUUGGACGGGGGGGACGGGGGACUGUGCAUUUUCAGAGGGAGACACAACUUCUCAAAGUCAGCCUGGAGGCAAAGGACAGAAAAAUCUUGUUUGAGCCUGAGUGAGGAGGAUCAGACAUGCACAGCGCUCACUCAUUACUCAAAAGACCAACGCUUCGUUCCACUCAUUGAUCCGGGGUCAAGGUGGAACAUUCUGCAACACUCCCUGGACAACAUUUUGUCUUUAUUGCUGAGCCAUGGGGAGCACAAUGAAGACGUCACACAGGUGUACAACAACUAUCCAGAGGAUCUAGGGGCAGCUUUAUACCGAGAACCAUUUGACUUCAACGCAGAGCCGCCUUGGGAUCCUAGCUGAUAGUGGAGGAGUUCCUCCCUGAACUCUUCCACGUAAGUACACAAGGAACCCAGGGGCUCGAGAGUUGGAUAACAAGACCACUACGGACUAUCUGUCUCCUUUAUGCCUGUCAGUUUAG